rnacentral:misc_RNA from 1 species
UAGAUACCCCACUAUGCCUGGUCUUAAACCUUGACUAAUUACAUCCCCCCCCCGCCAGAGUAUUACGAGCCAACAGCUUAAAAUUCAAGAGACUUGGCGGUGCUCUAUACCCACCUAGAGGAGCCUGUUCUAUAAUCGAUAAUCCCCGAUAAACCUCACCGAUUUUUGCCUAUCCGCUUAUAUACCGCCGUCGCCAACCUACCCUUUGAAGGAUGCACAGUAGGUUUAAUGGCUUAUCACCAGUACGUCAGGUCAAGGUGUAGCUAAUGAAACGGAAAGAAAUGGGCUACAUUUUCUAAUCUAGACUAUACGAAAAAUUAUAUGAAACCCGAUUAGAAGGAGGAUUUAGCAGUAAAAAGAAACCAACUAGUUCUUUUUAAUUUGGCCCUAGAGCGCGUACAUACCGCCCGUCACCCCCUUCAACCUAAAAUCCACCAUUUUAUAAAAUCAUUAUAAAACCAGAAGAGGUAAGUCGUAACAUGGUAAGCCCACCGGAAGGUGUGCUUGGAAUAAAUGUUUAUUUAACUUCAAUAAAGAAGUUUAUGUCCAUUAACUUAGAACAUUUUUUUAUCCAUUUUCUAGCCUGAACACACCAUCAAUUACCCACCCCUUUAUAACUUAAACAAAACAUUUUCAACCCUAAGUAUUUGAGACAGAAAAGGAAUUCAGAGCAAUACUAAUAGUACCGCAAGGGAAAGAUGAAAUAUUAAUGAAACAACCAAAAACACAUCAAAGCAAAGAUUAAACCUUGUACCUUUUGCAUCAUGAUUUAACUAGACAAUUUGAGCAAAGUGAUCUUUAGUUCACGACCCCGAACCUAGGUGAGCUACUCCAGGACAACUAAUGAGUUAACCCGUCUCUGUGGCAAAAGAGUGGGAAGAUCUUAGAGUAGAGGUGAUAUACCUAUCAAACCUAGUGAUAGCUGGUUGCUCAGGAAAAGAAUAUUAGUUCCCUCUUAAGAACCUUUUAACACCAUCAAGUAAACAAAUCCUUAAGACUUAUUCACUAAGGGUACAGCCUUACUGAAACAGGAUACAACCUUAACUUUAGGUUAAUGACCCCCCCCCCCCCAUAAGCAGAUUAAGUCGGCCUAAAAGCAGCCACCUUAAAAAAAGCGUCAAAGCUUCAUCUACAAGCCCCCCAAUCCCACAACCUUAUCAUAACCCAAUAACACUACUGAGCUGUCCUAUACCCCUAUAGGAGCAUUUAUGUUAAAACUAGUAACACAGAAAGACUUUCUCUUACUUGUAAGUGUAAAUCAAAUCGAAUACAUCAUUGAUAAUUACUCAACUAGAAUUUUACGUAGCAACCCUUUUCCCGAAAACCCUACUAAUUAAACUGUUAAUCUUACACAAGAACAAGAAAGAAAGAUUUAAAGACCCGGAAGAAACUCGGCAAAUACUAGUCCCGCCUGUUUACCAAAAACAUCACCUUUUGACUCCUAUAAAAGGCAACGCCUGCCCAGUGACAUUUGUUCAACGGCCGCGGUAUUUUAACCGUGCAAAGGUAGCGUAAUCACUUGUCUUCCAAAUAAAGACCAGUAUGAACGGCGCCACGAGAACUAAGCUGUCUCCCCCCUCUAAUCAGUGAAACUGAUCUCCCCGUGCAGAAGCGGGGAUAAAACCAUAAGACGAGAAGACCCUGUGGAACUUUAAAUUCACAUCAUCUGCUUACACACCUUCUACUCAAUAAUUCAGACUUGAUUUGCAUUUUCAGCUGGGGCAUCUAUGGAGAAAAAACUACCCUCCAUGAAGAAUUCAACCCAAGAGCUACCCCUCUAAGUAUUAACACCCUUAACCUCACUUGACCCAAUUAUAUUGAUCAACGGACCAAGUUACCCCAGGGAUAACAGCGCAAUCUACUUCUAGAGUUCCUAUCGACAAGUGGGCUUACGACCUCGAUGUUGGAUCAGGGCAUCCUAGUGGUGCAGCCACUACUAAAGGUUCGUGUGUUCAACGAUUAAAGCCCU